rnacentral:rRNA from 1 species
AACGUACCCUUUGGUUCGGGACAACUCUGGGAAACUGGAGCUAAUACCGGAUACGCCCUUUUGGGGAAAGGUUUACUGCCGAAGGAUCGGCCCGCGUCUGAUUAGCUAGUUGGUGGGGUAACGGCCUACCAAGGCGACGAUCAGUAGCUGGUCUGAGAGGAUGAUCAGCCACACUGGGACUGAGACACGGCCCAGACUCCUACGGGAGGCAGCAGUGGGGAAUAUUGGACAAUGGGCGCAAGCCUGAUCCAGCCAUGCCGCGUGAGUGAUGAAGGCCUUAGGGUUGUAAAGCUCUUUUAUCCGGGACGAUAAUGACGGUACCGGAGGAAUAAGCCCCGGCUAACUUCGUGCCAGCAGCCGCGGUAAUACGAAGGGGGCUAGCGUUGCUCGGAAUCACUGGGCGUAAAGGGCGCGUAGGCGGCGUUUUAAGUCGGGGGUGAAAGCCUGUGGCUCAACCACAGAAUGGCCUUCGAUACUGGGACGCUUGAGUCUGGUAGAGGUUGGUGGAACUGCGAGUG